rnacentral:lncRNA from 1 species
AACCCAAACUUUAUUCCAUUCUGUUGUUUCUGAUGUAUUUUCCACUUUCUAGUCUCCAUGCUUCUCAAUGUGGGAAAAAAAGAAGUUAAAAUCUACCACAUUGUAUAAUUGAUUUAGUAAAAUGUAAGCAUGAAAUUCAGGAUCCUUAAAAAUGUAUCCUACUCUAAUUUCUCAGAUGUGUAUGUACUGAACCUCCAAACCCCAGCAAUGAAACUCUAGCACAAUGGAAGAAAGAUAAUAUAACAGCACACAAUAUUUCCUGGAGAAAUCUUACUGUUUCUGAAUGUAAAAAACUUCGUGGUGUAUUCUUGGGGUCAGCUUGUGGUCAUCAUGGACCUUAUAUUCCAGAUGUGCUCUUUUGGUGUGUCAUCUUGUUUUUCACAACAUUUUUUCUGUCUUCAUUCCUCAAGCAAUUUAAGACCAAGCGUUACUUUCCUACCAAGGUAACUGUGAUAUAAUUUUGGAAUUCUGGUAAUAUUCAUAUUUUUGGUUUUUAUUUCCUUGGUUUAUUUCAAAACAGUAAUAUAUUUUUUGAGGUUAAUACUCCAUGCCAACUGGUUAAUAAAGAAAUUAUUCGUAGUGAAAAAUGUAUAUUACGUGCCUGAGCUCACAGUAGGAAGAUGAUGGUACCAUAAGAGUUGCUAGGUUAGUUGCGAAAUGUGUUUCUUAUAUUUUUGGAAAGAAUUAAAUAUAAAUGUGUUUCACUGUUAACAUUGUCACUAGUUAAAAGCUCCAUUUGUACGUUGUAGUGACAAUUUUAUCAAUAAAAG